AAAUAAGCUUGCCUUGUUGAACAAUCCAAAUUUUCUUAAAAACCUGCCAUUUUCAGCGAGUAGCUUACUAGCUUGAACUUUUAGUUGUGUCCCGCAA